AUUGAACGCUGGCGGCAGGCCUAACACAUGCAAGUCGAACGAGUGGCGGACGGGUGAGUAAUGUCUGGGAAACUGCCCGAUGGAGGGGGAUAACUACUGGAAACGGUAGCUAAUACCGCAUACCAUCGGAUGUGCCCAGAUGGGAUUAGCUAGUAGGUGGGGUAACGGCUCACCUAGCCGACGAUCCCUAGCUGGUCUGAGAGGAUGACCAGACAAACGGGAACGGAGGCACGGUCCAGACUCCUACGGGAGGCAGCAGUGGGGAAUAUUGCACCAUGGGCGCAAGCCUGAUGCAGCCAUGCCGCGUGUAUGAAGAAGGCCGUCGGGUUGUAAAGUACUGUCAGCGAGGAGGCGUUACUCGCAGAAGAAGCACCGGCUAACUACGUGCCAGCAGCCGCGGUAAUUC
rnacentral:rRNA from 1 species